UACGUGCAUAAUGCAUAUCCUUCUCUAUUUGAAUCCUUUUCAGCCUCCGCUGUCAUCUCCAUUCUCCACCUGCUCCUUCUGUUCCCUUUCCAGGUCCGCCUCCGUCUCCCGCUGUUCGUACGGUUCCUUUUCCGGUUUUGCCUCCAGUUCCAGCAGCUGCGCCCUCCGCCUCCGCAACCUGCAUGCGGAGCAGUGGUGAAUCGGUUAUCAAGUUGUUGCCCCAGAUAUCAUCAACAAGCAACUUGUCCCAUUGAGGGAAUGGAGGCUUCAGCCCCCAUCAAUCUUGCGCAAUUGUGCUAGUGUAACAUCAGCAAUGGCUCCACGAAAAAUCACACCCUCACCACAGCAGUCCACUACAAGCUUGCCUUGAUCAGCAUUCCUAAGCCGGCAAGCUACAGGGAAGUAGAACACAAGAACCUUAGCCAAGGACCUUUUUAUCAUCGUGAUGGGGUCCUGAACCUGGGCACCCAAGGCUAGGAUUGGAGAAUAAAAAUGCACAAAGGGUAUGUGAUUUCUUAGGCCACUUUGCUCAUCAAUGUUGGAUAAGUACUUGAGUUCUUUUGGGGUUGGUUUCUCUGGCUGGACUAGCUCCGGCUCACCGACAUGUACCAGGAAGUUAAGUGGUGCCAUUUCAGUCAAGACUGAAUUAACAAUCAUCUGAUUAUUUCGUGGUAUGAUUUAGCAUUCGUGGUUCCCCCAUUCUUA